rnacentral:lncRNA from 1 species
AAAAUGAUGAUGACCAUGAACACAUAGCGGAAGAAGAAGCCGUUUGUAGAAUCUGCUUUGUAGAACUAGAGGAGGAUGGAGAUACCUUUAAGAUGGAGUGUAACUGCAAAGGUGAUCUUGCCCUGGUGCACAAAGAAUGUGUAAUCAAAUGGUUUAGCAUCAAAGGUAACAAGACAUGCGAGGUUUGCAAGCAAGAGGUUCAAAAUCUACCUGUCACCCUUUUACGGAUACAAUCUAAUAGAAGCCGUAGAAACAGACCGAGACCUGCUCAAGCUAAUCAAAACAGGCAAGUGAUGUGCC